CCGGCGACCGGCGCGACGGGUGAAGUAACGCGUAUGACCUAACCUUACCUAUCGAGGAGGGGACGUAACCCGGACGAAAGGUCGGACUAACUACCGCAUAGAAGCGAGGGCCCCGCAUGGGAUAUUUGCUAAAGAUUCAUCGCUGAUAGAUAGGCAUGCGUUCCAUUAGGCAGUUGGCGGGGUAACGGCCCACCAAACCGACGAUGGAUAGGGGUUCUGAGAGGAAGGUCCCCCACAUUGGUACUGAGACACGGACCAA
rnacentral:rRNA from 1 species